GCGCCUAUGACCGAGUGGAUUAGGUAUCAUAAUUCUAGUGUGAUAAACGUGGGUUCGAAUCCUGCUGGGCGCGCCA
rnacentral:tRNA from 1 species